GUUCCAGUAACCGGUGGACUGGGUGCAUCCUACUUAACUGUCUUCUGGUGGCAAUUAUAAAUGGCUCAACAACCGCAUGAGUUUUUAACCUAGUCAAGCCGUCAAGAUUAUGCUUUAUGCGGGAUAGUUUGAUGGAGCUGACCACCCCUUUACUGCUUUCCGGUGGGAAUUUCUGCAUCGGAAAUAAAGGGAAGGAUGAAGAACAAUUAGUCAUGAAAACAAAAAUAAUUAGAUAAGAAUUCUGGCCAUCCGCCAAAAUGCAGCAUCACCUCUUAUGA